GGAAACUUGGAAACUUCCAGUUUCUUAUUAAUUAACGGCAAAUACACGUCACGUCUAGGUCUAAUGACGGAGUAUAUAUACGUAUGUUUGAUCGUUACACACCAGUGUAGGAUGUUCUGCGGUCGACAGGAUCCGAUGCUUAACGAUUGCUGGCUAUACCUAUGCACUGCAGCUUCGUAAGUUAUGCAAAGUUCAUGUUCAAAUUUGUAAAUUGCGUACACGUAUUAUUAUUAUUAUUAUUGUUAUAGACUGACGAACGCUGCGAGACGAUAUUAACUUAGAUUCGAAGUUUUACACAAUUCGCAUACGUAAUAUUAUGGACGUUUUAGUUUGUACACGAUGUGUAUUCAUUUUCAGAGUUCAAGACACGAGACAGUACCUGAAUACAUCAAUAUAUUA